rnacentral:sRNA from 1 species
UAUUGAUGUUCAAAGUCAAUAAUUUUAAUCACACGUAGCCACAUCGAAGAAGAACUUUAAAAAUAGACUCCAAUUAUUCAUGAAUAAGAACGCUAACCGCAUUUCUUAAGACUUUGCUAUUAUUAGUUUUGUAUUAAAUUAAUUUUUACAAAGAACAUAAUGACUGAACCGACAAUUAAACUGUGUAUUUGUCUGCUAGUCAUUGCUCUCACUUCUGACCCGGCUCAUGCACAAUGCGUGAACAUAUGUCCAGUUGUAAACUUGCCUGUGUGUGUGCCAGCGAUGGUCGGACAUAUUUUAGUGGAUGCUACAUGACCUAUAUGGCAUGCCU